rnacentral:rRNA from 1 species
GGUUGAUCCUGCCAGUAGUCAUAUGCUUGUCUCAAAGAUUAAGCCAUGCAUGUCUAAGUAAAAACAAAUUCAUACUGUGAAACUGCGAAUGGCUCAUUAAAUCAGUUAUAGUUUAUUUGAUGGUAACUUGCUACAUGGAUAACUGUGGUAAUUCUAGAGCUAAUACAUGCUGAAAAGCCCCGACUUCUGGAAGGGGUGUAUUUAUUAGAUAAAAAACCGAUGCCCUCGGGCUUCUGGUGAUUCAUAAUAACUCGUCGAAUCGCAUGGCCUUGUGCCGGCGAUGCUUCAUUCAA